AACACACCCACCUGCAGAGCCUCUGAACCCAGCUGAGCUUGAAGCAAUUCUCUCUGUUCUGUGAGAUAAUGAAUUGGGUUCUGUUUGUUUGUCUAAGCCAAUUUGAAUCAAGCCUCUUUUCCUCACACCUCAAAGAGUCCCUCCUAAUACAGGCAUGCAGAGUUUAAAGUUCUGCCUCCAGUAGCAACAUUUCAAAAUAAGAUAACCAGGGAAUCUGUUUGGGAAUAAUAAAAGCUUGAAAAAAGAAACACUGCUCUCAUAUUGGGAGCCCCAGCUUUGUGAGCCUUCUCAUUUUAUCCCGGGAGUCUGGACUAUGGCCCCAAAUCCCACCCUAACCCAGGAAGGGCUGAGAAAUUCAUCUCUCUGGCUUCUGUUUAUAAUGAGGAAUGAUGACUCUGCUCAGCCUCUGCCUAAAGCCUCACAUAUUACUAUUUGCUCUCUCAGGCUCCUGGGAGGCCAGGGCUUCUCUGAGCUUUCUGGGAGGUAGCUGAGUAACACUGGGGCUUGGCAGCCUGCAGAUCAACUCAUCUCUUUUGCAAAUUGCUAACUGGGUCUAAUGAAUUGGCUGGGCACAGAGGAAGGCCUUGAUGUCCUUUGCAGUGACAGAGUCCCCCCAGAGCAGGCUGAUCCAUCGUGCCUCUGCUGAGGAACACAUCUAUUAAUAUUUGAGAAUGCCAGCCUUCCACGGACAGAAUGGAUAACAGACCCCUAGUGAGAAUCAAGGAGGGCUGGAAAGGCCCUCCCAUCCACAGGCAUAGAAGGUAGCAUCUUUUACUCAUCCAAGGGGAAAAGAAGAAAAAGUUUUAUAAACUGGAGGAAAAGAGAGGUAUUUAAUAUGCUACUGGUAGGGGUAUAAACUGGGAAGCAAUUUGAAAAUGGCUAUUAAAAAUGUGCAACACAACACUCAAAGACCCAGCAAUUUCUCUUCUUGGUUAUUCCCUAGAGCAAACCCUGCCUGGGCUAAGGAGAUAUAAACAGUGUGUCCAAGGAGCAUGAUGCAAGUGUGAAACACUGGUGAUGACCAAACUCUUCGUUAAUAGGAGAAUGGCUUCAUAAAUAAGAGUAUUCCCACCCAGAGGGACUCUGUCCCUGCUCAGGAAGUUGAGACAGAGCUACAUGUUUUCACAGUGUGGAACCACAAAACAUUUUUGAGUAAAAAGAGCAAGUUGUGCAAUGAGAUGUGCAGUGUGCUGCUGCUGUGUUACACACACACACACACACACACACACACACACAGAGAUGAAGAUCUGUCAGAUGUACUCCAGACUCCAAACUGUCAUUUUACCUGAGGAUGGUAUUGGGAUGGGGUAGUGGUGAAACUGAACAUCAGCCUUAUCUAUUGCAUUUUUAUGUGUUAAGUAUUAUUCAUGAUUACACGUGUAAUUAAAAACUAAUAAUUAACUUUUUUGCCCCUCUAGGUGGAGCAUCACUUUUGCCAAGUUUUUUUUUUUUAAGAACAAAAGUGCCCCACCUGUCAGUGGUCUUCUAAUCAGUCACCUCAUACCCACUCUAUUUACCCCAAUUCUUGCUCCACUCUGUGUCUAGAGUGAUCUUUAGAAAACCUAAAUGGGAUUAUCUGCAUAAUCCUGUUGUUCUCAGGAAAAAAAUUUCAGGCCCCGACUGAGGCCUGAGAAGUCCUGCAGGUGAUGCCCUGUCCUGUGAGCCUCCACUGUACCUGCGCCCGUCCCCCAUGCACCUGGCACACUAGCCAUCUGUCUAUCACGCAUUCCAUCCUGUGAGCCCCCACUGCACAUGUGCCUGUCCCCCACUCACCCUGGCACACUGGCCAUCUCUCUAUCAUGUGUGUACCACUUCCUCCUGGCACAGGCAGCAUGCCCACCAUGGGCUCCCAAUCAGUGUCCCAGAAUCUUAGAAAUGCAGGGUUUCCGGGAGCCAGAGGUUGCAGUGAGCCGAGAUCACGCCACUGCACUCCAGCCUGGGCGACAGAGUGAAACUCCAUCUCAGUCAAUCAAUCAAUAAGAAAUGCAGGGAUUCAGGCUGCCUCCGAAACUCUUGGCAAGUGCCUCUCACCCUAGCCCAGUGAAGCAGAGAAGGGAAGGCUCUUCCAGGAGGGUCUUUGCAGAAUGUUGCCCAUGGCCUCUGCAGUCAAUUCUGCUGAAUUGGUUCAGUGGUUUAAAUCCAUACAGGUCAAAGCCUUACAAAAAUUGAGAAAAUUCUAGAUGAGACAAUGCAAGCCAAUGAGGAUCCUACUGACAGAAAAAAAGGGGGUAUGGCUCUCCAAGAGAGGGGCCCAGGGAAGGGUGUGGGGGUUGGUGGUUAUUUU
rnacentral:lncRNA from 10 species